rnacentral:rRNA from 1 species
ACGAACGCUGGCGGCGUGCUUAACCCCUGCAAGUCGAACGGAAAGGCCCUGCUUUUGUGGGGUGCUCGAGUGGCGAACGGGUGAGUAACACGUGAGUAACCUGCCCUUGACUUUGGGAUAACUUCAGGAAACUGGGGCUAAUACCGGAUAGGAGCUCCUGCUGCAUGGUGGGGGUUGGAAAGUUUCGGCGGUUGGGGAUGGACUCGCGGCUUAUCGGCUUGUUGGUGGGGUAGUGGCUUACCAAGGCUUUGACGGGUAGCCGGCCUGAGAGGGUGACCGGCCACAUUGGGACUGAGAUACGGCCCAGACUCCUACGGGAGGCAGCAGUGGGGAAUAUUGCACAAUGGGCGGAAGCCUGAUGCAGCAACGCCGCGUGCGGGAUGACGGCCUUCGGGUUGUAAACCGCUUUCGCCUGUGACGAAGCGUGAGUGACGGUAAUGGGUAAAGAAGCACCGGCUAACUACGUG